rnacentral:lncRNA from 10 species
CGACCUUGGCGCGCGCUCGGCGCGCGGUCACGCUCCGUCACGUGGUGCGUUUUGCCUGCGCGUCUUUCCACUGGGGCCGGGGCGGCGCGGAGGGUUCAGACGCGGGCUCUUACUCAAACGCUGAUCCCCGAAACUACCGAGCAGUGUCUGCGCGACGCGAAAGCAUUUUUGGAGCGAGGGGCCAUGGUGCCCAUGGGAUUCCCACGGGUGUUGGACUCGGGACCCCGAAAAGUGGAGUUUGGAAAAGAUUUGAGACCACAAGUGCAGCCUCCGCUUUCCUUGUUAGAGUUACUCCAGAAGCCCUGACCAGCUCAGACUUUCCUUCCUACUUCCAUUCCUUCAACAAAUAUUGAACAUCUGUGGUGUCAGCACCCGGGCUUCAGGGAUGCGUGAGUGGGCAGGGUUGCUAUGGUCAUGGAGCUCGGUUCCAGCAGGGGAGCCAGGCAGACAUGAAAGAGCCCUCUGGAUGCCGAGACGUGUGCUGUGAAAGUGUGGCAUAGAAAGUGCCUGGGGGAUGAUGGCCACUUCAGUGGGGCAAGAGAGAAGGUGACAUUGGAGCUGUCAUUGAUGAUAACGGCGGCAGCGCUGAGGGGACGGGGACCGAGAUCCAGGCAGAGGACCUUGCAACCACCUGACUCAGUGUCACCCAUCUGGGCCAGCCCUUCCCGGGAGACCACUGUGGUGGUAGUUGCUGCUCCCAGCAGUGCUGUGGCUCAGUACUGAGAGAGGGGAGGGACCUGGGGAGCCACUGCCAGGGAGUUCGGGCUUUGGAGGCUUGAGUUCUCCCCACUCGGUACGCCUCUUAAGUGAAAUGGAAGUCAUUUGACUAGCUUCUCAUCUGACCUUACUAAAUAAGCAGUAGGCAAACGCAAACCUCAGAAUGCUAAUAUGGCCUUUACUGAGUGAAAAGAGCUAAUUUGGACAAUGAUGUUUACCUCAGAUUUACAAAAGAGAAUUGCAAAUAACCAAAAAGCACAUUAACAUGGAUGGGAGAUGAUGCUAAUCUUCAAUUAGCAUCCACAUUUUUAUUCAUUUAUUUAGAACAGGUAGGGCUGGUGGUUUCAUAAAUGCCUUAUUGUGGAAACUAGCAUGAGAUACACCUAGUUAUUGGUUCAACAUUUCUGGCUACAUGAGCAUGUGUUACUUUGAGCCAGAGGUAGAUUUUUUGUUGUUGUUUGUUUUUUUGAGAUGGAGUCUCGAUCUGUCACCCAGGCUGGAGUGCAGUGGUGCAAUCUCAGCUCACUGCAACCUCUGCCUCCUGGGUUCAAGCAAUUCUCCUGCCUCAGCCACCAUGCCAGGCUAAUUUUUGUAUUUUCAGUAGAGACGGGGUUUCACCAUGUUAGCCAGGCUGGUCUGGAACUCCUGACCUCAGGUGAUCCACCCACCUUGGCUUCCCAAAGUGCUGGGAUUACAGGCGUGAGCCACCAUGUCUGGACUCUUUUUUUUUGAGAUGGAGUCUCACUUUGUCACCCAGGCUGGAGUGCGGUGGUGUGAUCUUGGCUCACUGCAAUCUCUGCUUCCUGGGUUCAAGAGAUUCUCCUGCCUCCACCUCCCAAGUAGCUGGGACUACAGGCUCACUAUCAUGCUGGGCUAAUUUUUUUUUUUUUUUUUUUUUUUGAGUCAGAGUCUCGCUCUCUUCAGCAGGCUGGAGUGCAGUGGCAUCAUCUUGGCUCACUGCAACCCCUCCUCCCAGGUUCAAGCGAUUCCCCUGCCUCAGACUCCUGAGUAGCUGGAACUACAGGUGUGUGCCAUCACCCCCGGCUAAUAUCUGUGUUUUCAGUAGAGACAGGGUUUCGCCAUGUUGGCUAGGCUGGUCUCAAACUCCUGACCUCAAGUGAUCUGCCUGCCUCAGCCUUCCAAAGUGCUGGGAUUAAAGGCGUGAGCCACCGCGCCCCGCCAAUUUUUUGUCUGUUUUUUCUUGUCGAGCAAUUUUGCAGAGGAGAAAGAUCUGAGUUCUAGUUCUCAUUCCACCUGGAACUGUUUGUGACCUUGGCCUGCUCCCUGUACCUCUCUGUCUCUGGUUCUGUUUUAGCUUCUGCAAAGUGAGGAAACUACCCUAGAGAUGAUCCUUGACAUUUUUCAGCAUUGAAAUGCUGGCAUUCUUGCAGCUGGAUAACUGAAGGACGUUUUUGGAUAAUUGUAAUUUUCUGAUAUUCUGCAUUCUCC